GAAAACGCGGAUCCCGCAAAGUCGAGCGCCACGUACUCGAAGAAGCCGGACGGCGUCUUCAUGGUGUUCGAGACGAAGAACGCCACUCUCCUAAAGGUGAGCCAGGCGUCGACCGCGGCGCGCGAGAAAGGCGUGAUGCUCACCUGGGCCGCCUACGAGGUGCACAGAGACCGGAUGUUGUGCG
rnacentral:lncRNA from 1 species